UAAGGGGGUGCACAGGGAAGGCUGAGGGUGGGGGGCAGCAGAGGGGAAAAUGGAAGAGGGCUGGGGAGCUUGGACUGACGUGCUUGUCGUUCAGGGAGAAAUCCAAGUCAGACCAGAACUGGUUUGGUCCUGGGCUGUGUUUCUCUGAAUGCAAUAAGAUGCUGUGGCCCCCGAUCGGUUCAGAAAUGAGUUUUACUCCUUAAACUCUAGUGGCUGUUUUUUCUGCCCCUUUCCUAGAAGCCUCGCAGCUUCCACCUGGAAGGGGACGUAGAAAUGACCCAGCAGCUGACCUUCGGAGCAGGGCUGAGGCUCAGGAAGCGCUCAGUGGCUGGAGGCUCCGCCCAGAGGCCUGGCAGCGGCUCUCCUAACCCUCCUGAAAUGAGGGAUUUGGGGCACCAUCUCCUCUGCCUGGGCCUCCUCAUCUGCAAAGUGGGGCGAGCACCCCUUCCCGCACCUCUGGCCUCAUCACCCUACUUUGAAAAGCAAAUGAGAGAGCAGAUGUGAAAGUUCUCUGAAAAGGCAGAAGUGUCGGUGGGCCGAAGGAACUGCUAUUCAUAGCCCGUCUUCAACCUGGGCUGCGGUGAGAGCCCGUUAAAAGUGCAGCGCCCGCGGGAACAGGCAGGGCGGCCCGCUUCCAGCUCGGUCCUGCCCAGGGGUCCACUCUGGACAGUUCCUCCUUAUUCGAAGAUGCAUCACCCCUGAAAUGACUGAGGUGAAGCAGAGGGAACACGAAACCCUGUGACGUCCUGAAAUAAGAGCCUGCAGUUCAGUGGAAGACAGCACGGUUAAAAUUCUAUUUAAACACGAGACCUCCUUCAUUGAGAAACUUCGCAACCUCAGAGGCCCUCUAGUGCCCAAUUUGGGAUAUUGGAUGCAGGUCCCUGUGCUCUAGGGGGACCGAGUGGCUCCUCCGCGGCCGUGUUGUAGUCCUUCAUUCUUCACAAAGCCCACUGCCACGCGUGCCCUCAGUAAGGAAGUGCGGGGACUGGUCGGAAGCGGGACUCACCGGCUUGUGUUUGCAGAAAGAACUUCAGAGCUCCGCGCCCCGGCGAGAGAGGCGGUGUCGCCGUGGGGGUUGUCAAUGUCCUCUGCGUUCGUGGACUGCACGCAGCCACUGCUGGGGCAGAGAGAAAAGACUGCUGCGUUUCUUUAUGAGACACCCAGAGAAAACAGGGGAACGUAAGCCAGCUCUCAAAGGAAAGCUGGCCAAAAUGGAUCAAAACUCAAAAUGCAAAAAACCAACUAUGAUGAUGGAAUGGUUUGCCUCACAAACAUAAAGUAAGGCGAGUCUCUCAUUUGAAGAAUAAGGGGUGAUCUGCGGUUUGGGCCCGAGGGAGAGCAAGUGCUGGUUCGUGAUUGAGAGCAAAGAAGGGGGCUGUUUCUGCAGCCCUGCGCCUCCUUCCCUGGAGCCUGGGAGGUGCUGGGGGGGGGGCCCGGCAGAGAGGGUCCCAGAGCUCAGAGGGCGCCCGUGGAGAUGGAAACGGGGCAGGUGCCUGGGGUUCUGGGCAACUGGCAAUGUGCCUUCAGGCCUGAGAGAGGGUCCUGGCGGCAUUUCUGGGGCCACCAGUGGAAAGAUGAGUCACCUCUACUGUGAAGCAGAAGAGGCAGGAGUAAUGGGGGAGGGCAGUGCAAAGGCCCGGAUGCCUCCACUUUCUGGGAUUUACUUUGUUCUAAGCUACCGCAAUCUGAAGGUUUAUGCCCCCCACCCCCAAUUUUUUUCGGCCACGCCCUUGGCAGGUGGCAGUACCCCAGGCCAGGGACUGAACCCAUGCCACAGCACUGGAUCCUUAACUGCUAGGCCACCAGGUUACUCUCCCCACCAAAUCCACAGGCUGAAAUCCUAACACCCAAAGGCAACGGUAUCAGAAGGUGGGAGGUGCUUAAGUCUUUAGUGCUCCCAGCCCCCUGCGCUUGUGUGUGGGCACGGCAGGAAGUCUGAGACCCAGAAGAGGCCAGCUCUGACUUCCAGCCUUCAGAGCUGUGAGAAAUAAAUGCCUGUUGUUCAGUA